rnacentral:rRNA from 1 species
UAGAGUUUGAUCCUGGCUCAGAACGAACGUUGGCGGCGUGGAUAAGGCAUGCAAGUCGAACGAUCUUUUUAGGUCUCGAGGCCGCAAGGCCAAGAGACUUGGAUUGAUAGUGGCAAAAGGGUGAGUAACGCGUGGGUAAUCUACCUUUGAGUCUGGGAUAAUCCGCCGAAAGGCGGACUAAUACCGGAUAAGACCACGACUACUUCGGUAGACGUGGUAAAAGAUGGGGAUCGCAAGACCUAUCACUUAAAGAUGAGCCUGCGUCCUAUCAGCUUGUUGGCGGGGUAAAGGCCCACCAAGGCGACGACGGGUAGCUGGUCUGAGAGGAUGGUCAGCCACACUGGGACUGAGACACUGCCCAGACUCCUACGGGAGGCUGCAGUCGAGAAUCUUUCGCAAUGGACGCAAGUCUGACGAUGCGACGCCGCGUGAGCGAUGAAGGUCUUCGGAUCGUAAAGCUCUGUCAAGUGGGACGAACGUCCUGAUGGCUAAUAGCCUGAUGGGCUGACUGUACCACUAGAGGAAGCCACGGCUAACUCCGUGCCAGCAGCCGCGGUAAUA